rnacentral:rRNA from 1 species
CAGGAGCGAAAUACCAUCGGUUAAUAACCGGUGGGGCUGACGGUACCUGAGGAAUAAGCACCGGCUAACUCGUGCCAGCAGCCGCGGUAAUACGAAGGGUGCAAGCGUUAAUCGGAAUUACUGGGCGUAAAGGGUGCGUAGGCGGAUGUUAAGUCUGUCGUGAAAUCCCCGGGCUCAACCUGGGAAUGGCGAUGGAUACUGGGCAGCUAGAGUGUGUCAGAGGAUGGUGGAAUUCCCGGUGUAGCGGUGAAAUGCGUAGGGAUCGGGAGGAACAUCAGUGGCGAAGGCGGCCAUCUGGGACAACACUGACGCUGAAGCACGAAAGCGUGGGGAGCAAACAGGAUUAGAUACCCUGGUAGUCCACGCCCUAAACGAUGCGAACUGGAUGUUGGUCUCAACUCGGAGAUCAGUGUCGAAGCUAACGCGUUAAGUUCGCCGCCUGGGGAGUAAGGUCGCAAGACUG